CCUCCCCUCGCUCGCUCUCUCCCUCACAAACCCCUCUCUGUCUUGCAACCUCUCCCUCCCCCCCAUGAACCUCUCUCCCUCGCCGCCACCCACCACCCACAUCGGCCAGUUCCGUCGAGCUUCGGCGGCGCGUAUCACACCCCCGAGCUCCCCUAUGUCCGCACCUCCUUCCCCUCCGGCUAGAAUCAGCGCUCAAGCCGUCCACCAGCCCCCGUGGUAGCUAGGGUUUCGGCCGCCACCCCUUACCUGGCCGGGAUCCGCCACAUCCGGCGACGUCGAGGCCAGCGGGCGCCGGAUCCGUCACCGGCGUGCUCAGCAGGACAGGCACAGAUGGAGGAACACCGUCUUCAUACCCUGCCCCGACGCCAAAGGUGAUUGCGUCAAAGAUAUGGAGGCGUUCAGGAAGCGGGCGGGCAAGUUCAAGGAGCAAGUUGCCAAGCAGCAGCAGAUAAUAUAUUUGAGUACGCGGAUGCCGGAGGGGUCGUGCCUGAGGAGACCGAGCUCGCCAUGCUGCUCCUUUUCAAUGCCAACAAGGGAAGGGCCGACGAGGAGAACAGGGUCCCUACACCAAGAAGUAACUGGCGCAACAGCUGUAACUUGAGACGCUGGACUGGAGGAAGGAUCAUGAGGAGAACAACUACACAAUGUUGUGGAUGAACAGGAUGAUGGGAGGGUGAAUCAGAUCUAGGAGCACAUCGACUACGAGGUUUGCCGACACGACAAGUACCGUAUAUGUGUCUACUCAUCCAACCUGAUUUUCACCUAGGGCAUUUGCAUCCCCAUGAUUAGGCGUGAUUGUCAGGUCCUUAAAUGGAGAACAUUCUUCUGAUCGUAAUGGAGAUGCAGGUGGAUGAUGAUUAUUCAUCUGUGUGAAGGACGAAAUGCUUCUCGGAAUUCUUAAAGAGGAAGACAAUGGAGCCAUGAUGUUGUUGUGCAACAGGCUAUGUUUUUUGCAAUACCAUUUGUCUUGGCUGUGUAUCUUACUUUGUGUGUGCUGGGAUACUCAAAAAGCUAUCUCUGUAAUUUAAAUCUGUGUUAUGUUGUCUGGCGUGUGUAACCUUAUUUUGUGUGUGCUGGGAUACUCAAAAAGAUAUCUGUCUAAUUUAAAUCUGUGUUAUGUUGUCUGGCGUGUGUAAUCUUAUUUUGUGUGUGCUGGGAUAUUCAAAAAGAUAUCUGUCUAAUUUAAA
rnacentral:rRNA from 1 species